CCCUUUCUCUUUCGAAAACAAUCACCAGCCACAGUUCUUCACCUCCAAGAGCCACCAAGCAGCAGCAGCGGGCAAUAAUCAACUGCGAUGCCAAAAUUAAAAAAAUUAAACAAAUGAGGAUGAAGAUGACAUAAUGGUCGAGCUUGAUAUGGUAGAUAUGGCAAAAGCACUAAUAAGUCAACAUUCAUCUGGAGAGUCAUUUUUCAUGUAUGCUUUGGAUUUGAACACUAUAAAUGCAGCAGAGUUUCUUGAGUAUGUCAAUGCAAAUAAGUAGUCUUCUUCUUUUUUUUUUAUUAUUAUUAUUAUUAUUAUUAUUAUUAUUAUUGAGUUAAAAUUUAAUUUCAUACCUUAUGAUAACAAAUAUAAUUGAUUAUUCCUAGUAACUAAUUUAUGAUUAUGAGCAUUAUAGAAAUUAAUAAAAAAUGACUAGUCAAACAAAAUGAAAAUUAACUCUUGUAUGUACUACUUUCUUUGUCUUUUGUAUCUUUGAAGAAAAACUUUAUUCUAAACAAUGAAAAAGUAAUAACACACUCCGUAAAACAAAGGAAUGAAGAUUAGUGUUUUAGAUAAGAAUUUUUGAGUUACGAUUCCUCCUUGGAUCAAAUCUUCUUUUAUAGAGUUUGAUAUAUUUUUUCUAAUAUUAGAAAGAUUUUCUUUUUCAUCAACUAACCGUUGCACUAUUUAUUUGUGGUUUUCAUUUACAUUGAAGUAAGAAUAUUUUCCUUUUUAACUUGAUGAUAUGCCGCAACAAUCCAAUUUCCUAUGAGCUUGAUUCUUGGAGCGUUUCUUAUUAUGUUUAUUGUGCAAUCUCAUUUUAAAGAUAUCAUUUUUAAUGAUAAUUAUAUUAAUAUUGCUUGUAUGUUCAAUUUCUUUUUGCUUGAUUCGUCAUCGUUGAUUGAUUCCUAUCAUAAAUUAGUUAUACUAGGAAAUAAUUAAUUAUGUUUGUCAUCGCAAGGUGCCAAAUUAAUUCUUGACUCAACAAUUCUCCUUUCACACAAUACCCUACUUCUUCUCCCUUCCAUCAUAAACCGUGCUUUAACUAAAGUUCAUCCUUUCCUUUCUUCGUAAUUCAUGGCUUCAUCAAGUUUCAGAAAAAAGAAAGAAAAAGAAUCAGCUCAAGCCGAACUACCAAUCUAUGAUACCAAGAGAUUUAAGUCUCAAUUUCAUGAAUCAAGAUAUCACAAGUUAAUGGAAUCAAAAAGGUCAUUUCAGAGAUGGGUUUCAGAUUGAAAGAUGGAGAAUAUCCCAUCAUGAGAAGAAUAACCGUAGAGAGGAGAUGAGAACUUCUAUGUGAACCUCUCACAGACAUAAGUGCAACCAUGAUAAGGGAGUUCUAUGCAAAUGCUGUGAGGUCAAACAAGAUCAGCCCUCCCUACAAGAGCUAUGUUAGGGGGGUUGAGGUAGAUUUCAGCCCACCAUCCAUCAUGAGAAUCUUAUAGAUAAGAGUGAUACCCUAUGGAAAACCCAGCUUUGAUGAAAGAAUGGCGGUGAGAGAGAUCUUGAUGAGAUAUUACAUGGUUUAUGUUUUGAAGGCAAAGACCGGGAAAGUGACUUAGAGGGAGCUCUAAGCCGCUUGAAGAGAAUGGAUCUCAUACCUGAGAUCAAAGGGUGGUAUGAGAUAGUGAGAAGGUCCAUACUCCCAACUGAAAAUACAUCUGAAGUCACAAUAAAAAGAGCAAUUCUGACAUAUUGCAUACUUAGGGGAGGAGAAGUCAAUGUCCCACAGCUCAUAGCAGAUAGCAUUCAAGAAAUGGCUGAGGAUACUGACAAAUGAAGCAGACUUGGUCACCCAAGUACCAUUCUGAGGCUGUGCAGGGAGGCAGAGGAAUUACCAAGCAAAAAAUGGAUGGUAUCACUGAAACCGAGGAGGAGAGAAGAGCUCAAGGAAAAAGGAGGAGACCACAAAUGGAGGGGGAACAAUCUUCUGGUGCAAUGGACUUAAGCCAAAUGCAAAGAGCCGUUGAAGAAAUGUCUCAGCAAUAUAUGAGAGCACAGGAGCAACAACAGGAGCAAUAUUUGAAGCAACAAGAGCAGUACUUAAAAGCCCAAGAGCAAUAAGAGCAUUGGCAGCAGCAAAUGAUGGAAAAGCAAGAAAACUUCCAGCUCAAGAUGUUGGAUCAACAGAGAGAGUUUCAAGCAAGAACUCUUGAUUGGCAAAGGGAACAAUCAGCACACUCUCAAGAAUCAUUUAAUAGAUUGUCCCUACAACAAGCCAAGCAAGGAAAGUACAUCCAAAAUCUGUACCAAUGAAAGAAUAUAUAUCAUACAAUUAGAGAGCAUAGGAAGUUGGACAUGAUGGAUUAUGAUAUAGAAACUCAAGCAAAGUUAGACUAUGUAGUCAGUGGCAUGCUAAUAUUGAACUAAGAGAUCAAGCCAUAUGUUCAAUGCCAAGAAUUGGUAGACCAUCAGAGAGCAAAAGCCAAGAACAAUGCAGCACACAUGCAACAAGGAUUGAAGGAUGCUGGGCUCUGGGAUCGGAUAGACCACAUUUGGGAUUGUAGAUGCCCUAUUGAGGAACCCCAAGAAACAAGCAAGAAGCGGAAGAAGAAAGGAGAAUCUAGCUGAGGAAAAGAGCACAACAACGAGAGGUGGUGGAGUCCCUUUUAUAGUUUUAAUUAAAUAAGGAUUAUGCAUAUCUGAAACAUGAUAUGCCUCCAAAUAUUUUAUAUUCUGCACUUUCAUAUCUUGAGUAGAUUUCUUAUUAGGAUCUGCAUUAUGCUUGUUAUCACUCAUCUGCAUUAAAUUCUGUCUUGUUUCCCUUUUGCAUCAAUAAGAGAAAA